rnacentral:rRNA from 1 species
CACGGGGGGGAGCAAGCGUUGUUCGGAAUCACUGGGCGUAAAGGGCGUGUAGGCGGUUCGGUAAGUGGAAUGUGAAAUGCUCCGGCUCACCCGGAGUACUGCAUCCCAAACUGCCGAGCUUGAGUAUGGGAGAGGAUGAGGGAAUUCCUGGUGUAGCGGUGAAAUGCGUAGAGAUGUGGAGGAACACCGAUGGCGAAGGCAGCCUCCUGGGCCAACACUGACGCUCAUGCACGAAAGCGUGGGGAGCAAACAGG